rnacentral:rRNA from 1 species
AAAUUGAAGAGUUUGAUCAUGGCUCAGAUUGAACGCUGGCGGCAGGCCUAACACAUGCAAGUCGAACGGUAACAGGAAGCAGCUUGCUGCUUCGCUGACGAGUGGCGGACGGGUGAGUAAUGUCUGGGAAACUGCCUGAUGGAGGGGGAUAACUACUGGAAACGGUAGCUAAUACCGCAUAACGUCGCAAGACCAAAGAGGGGGACCUUCGGGCCUCUUGCCAUCGGAUGUGCCCAGAUGGGAUUAGCUAGUAGGUGGGGUAACGGCUCACCUAGGCGACGAUCCCUAGCUGGUCUGAGAGGAUGGCCAGCCACACUGGAACUGAGACACGGUCCAGACUCCUACGGGAGGCAGCAGUGGGGAAUAUUGCACAAUGGGCGCAAGCCUGAUGCAGCCAUGCCGCGUGUAUGAAGAAGGCCUUCGGGUUGUAAAGUACUUUCAGCGGGGAGGAAGGGAGUAAAGUUAAUACCUUUGCUCAUUGACGUUACCCGCAGAAGAAGCACCGGCUAACUCUGUGCCAGCAGCCGCGGUAAUACGGAGGGUGCAAGCGUUAAUCGGAAUUACUGGGCGUAAAGCGCACGCAGGCGGUUUGUUAAGUCAGAUGUGAAAUCCCCCGGGCUCAACCUCGGGAACUGCAUCUGAUACUGGCAAGCUUGAGUCUCGUAGAGGGGGGUAGAAUUCGGGUGUAGCGGUGAAAUGCGUAGAGAUCUGGAGGAAUACCGGUGGCGAAGGCGGCCCCCUGGACGAAGACUGACGCUCAGGUGCGAAAGCGUGGGGAGCAAACAGGAUUAGAUACCCUGGUAGUCCACGCCGUAAACGAUGUCGACUUGGAGGUUGUGCCCUUGAGGCGUGGCUUCCGGAGCUAACGCGUUAAGUCGACCGCCUGGGGAGUACGGCCGCAAGGUUAAAACUCAAAUGAAUUGACGGGGGCCCGCACAAGCGGUGGAGCAUGUGGUUUAAUUCGAUGCAACGCGAAGAACCUUACCUGGUCUUGACAUCCACAGAACUUUCCAGAGAUGGAUUGGUGCCUUCGGGAACUGUGAGACAGGUGCUGCAUGGCUGUCGUCAGCUCGUGUUGUGAAAUGUUGGGUUAAGUCCCGCAACGAGCGCAACCCUUAUCCUUUGUUGCCAGCGGUCCGGCCGGGAACUCAAAGGAGACUGCCAGUGAUAAACUGGAGGAAGGUGGGGAUGACGUCAAGUCAUCAUGGCCCUUACGACCAGGGCUACACACGUGCUACAAUGGCGCAUACAAAGAGAAGCGACCUCGCGAGAGCAAGCGGACCUCAUAAAGUGCGUCGUAGUCCGGAUUGGAGUCUGCAACUCGACUCCAUGAAGUCGGAAUCGCUAGUAAUCGUGGAUCAGAAUGCCACGGUGAAUACGUUCCCGGGCCUUGUACACACCGCCCGUCACACCAUGGGAGUGGGUUGCAAAAGAAGUAGGUAGCUUAACCUUCGGGAGGGCGCUUACCACUUUGUGAUUCAUGACUGGGGUGAAGUCGUAACAAGGUAACCGUAGGGGAACCUGCGGUUGGAUCACCUCCUUACCUUAAAGAAGC